rnacentral:rRNA from 1 species
GGGCGUAAAGAGCUCGUAGGCCGUUCGGUAAGUCAGAUGUGAAAACUCCAGGCUCAACUUGGAGACGCCAUCUGAUACUGCCGUGACUUGAGUCCGGUAGGGGAGCACGGAAUUCCUGGUGUAGCGGUGAAAUGCGCAGAUAUCAGGAGGAACACCAGCGGCGAAGGCGGUGCUCUGAGCCGGUACUGACGCUGAGGAGCGAAAGCGUGGGGAGCGAACAGGAUUAGAUACCCUGGUAGUCCACGCCGUAAACGGUGGGUGCUAGUUGUGGGCCACAUUCCACGUGGUCCGUGACAAAGUUAACACAUUAAGCACCCCGCCUGGGGAGUACGGUCGCAAGACUAAAACUCAAAGGAAUUGACGGGGGCCCGCACAAGCGGCGGAGCAUGCGGAUUAAUUCGAUGCAACGCGAAGAACCUUACCAAGGCUUGACAUAUAGAGGAAACGUGCAGAAAUGUACGCCCCGCAAGGUCUCUAUACAGGUGGUGCAUGGUUGCCGUCAGCUCGUGUCGUGAGAUGUUGGGUUAAGUCCCGCAACGAGCACAACCCUCGUCCUAUGUUGCCAGCACGUAAUGGUGGGAACUCAUGGGAGACUGCCGGGGUCAACUCGGAGGAAGGUAAU